rnacentral:rRNA from 1 species
UGAUGCCAUGCUUCCAGGAAAAGCCUCUAAGCUUCAGGUAACUAGGAACCGUACCCCAAACCGACACAGGUGGUCGGGUAGAGAAUACCAAGGCGCUUGAGAGAACUCGGGUGAAGGAACUAGGCAAAAUGGCACCGUAACUUCGGGAGAAGGUGCGCCGGUGAGGGUGAAGGGUUUACCCCGUAAGCUCAUGCCGGUCGAAGAUACCAGGCCGCUGCGACUGUUUAUUAAAAACACAGCACUCUGCAAACACGAAAGUGGACGUAUAGGGUGUGACGCCUGCCCGGUGCCGGAAGGUUAAUUGAUGGGGUUAGCGCAAGCGAAGCUCUUGAUCGAAGCCCCGGUAAACGGCGGCCGUAACUAUAACGGUCCUAAGGUAGCGAAAUUCCUUGUCGGGUAAGUUCCGACCUGCACGAAUGGCGUAACGAUGGCGGCGCUGUCUCCACCCGAGACUCAGUGAAAUUGAAAUCGCUGUGAAGAUGCAGUGUAUCCGCGGCUAGACGGAAAGACCCCGUGAACCUUUACUGUAGCUUUGCACUGGACUUUGAGCUUGCUUGUGUAGGAUAGGUGGGAGGCUUUGAAGCGUGGACGCCAGUCUGCGUGGAGCCAUCCUUGAAAUACCACCCUGGCAAUCUUGAGGUUCUAACUCUGGUCCGUUAUCCGGAUCGAGGACAGUGUAUGGUGGGCAGUUUGACUGGGGCGGUCUCCUCCUAAAGAGUAACGGAGGAGUACGAAGGUGCGCUCAGACCGGUCGGAAAUCGGUCGUAGAGUAUAAAGGCAAAAGCGCGCUUGACUGCGAGACAGACACGUCGAGCAGGUACGAAAGUAGGUCUUAGUGAUCCGGUGGUUCUGUAUGGAAGGGCCAUCGCUCAACGGAUAAAAGGUACUCCGGGGAUAACAGGCUGAUACCGCCCAAGAGUUCAUAUCGACGGCGGUGUUUGGCACCUCGAUGUCGGCUCAUCACAUCCUGGGGCUGAAGCCGGUCCCAAGGGUAUGGCUGUUCGCCAUUUAAAGUGGUACGCGAGCUGGGUUUAGAACGUCGUGAGACAGUUCGGUCCCUAUCUGCCGUGGACGUUUGAGAUUUGAGAGGGGCUGCUCCUAGUACGAGAGGACCGGAGUGGACGAACCUCUGGUGUUCCGGUUGUCACGCCAGUGGCAUUGCCGGGUAGCUACGUUCGGAAGAGAUAACCGCUGAAAGCAUCUAAGCGGGAAACUUGCCUCAAGAUGAGAUCUCACUGGAGCCUUGAGCUUCCUGAAGGGCCGUCGAAGACUACGACGUUGAUAGGUCGGGUGUGUAAGCGCUGUGAGGCGUUGAGCUAACCGAUACUAAUUGCCCGUGAGGCUUGACCAUAUAACACCCAAACAAUCUGACCGUGGUCAGAGCGUGAGGAAGACGACGCCGAAAACGGCGCGUGGGUUCGCAAGACCCCAA